GGCUUUUGUUUGGGAUCCUCUGGGAGCCACAGUGCCAGGACCGUCUACAGGAGCCAAAUCAAGAUUGCGUUUCUCAAAGUCCUACAGGUAUUGCUCUUUUCCUUUUGUAGCUAGGAAGAACUGCUUAACUGCCUUAGGCCCCUUGCAAAUAAGCCUUUGCCCUAUGUUGACCUUCUAACUCCUAAUGCUGGUUAAUUUGACAAUAUAUGAAAUAAGAGCCAAGAAGAUGAUGCAGAAGUUGAAGAAAGUUGACCAACUUUAAAAGCUAAUUCUGAGAGUUAAAUGGCAAACUUAACAAAGCAUUCAUAUUACUGCCACCUGAAAAACAGUGUAUUAACUUGUCUAAUGGCUUCAUAUAGUCAACCUAAAUGUUAGGGAAGGGUAAACCAACAACAAGAACACUACAGUAUUCUUUAUAAGUGUUUCAGGGCACAUCCACAUGAAAAAAUUGAAACUAAUGCUGUUUCAGGUAGUAAUUCAGUGUUAAUCUUGCCCAGCAGAAUUAGAUGCCAUGAAGUCCAACUAAAUAUUUUAAUAAUCUUUUGUUUCUGGAAAUAAUAUUAAAAAUCUUGACCUCAUGACUUCACUAAACUGUCAAUGACUGUUUUACAAGAAAAUCAGCUUAUUUUAACCAAGUAACUGGAAAAAAAAGAAGACACUUUAAAAAAUCUUGGAUUUCCUUCUCAUUUGAGUAUUCUAGGUAUUAAUAAAGAGAAGAUUGAUUAUUCUUUAUUAAUGUUUAUAAAUAAAAGCUUUUUUUUGUUUUCUAUUGAUUAAAAUUUAUAGCACUGAAAGGUAUCUAUUUAAUCAAUAGUAAAUAGAAGUGACAUUGUUUGCAAAAUUUUGGAUAUAAGGUCUCUCUUAUUUAGACCAAAUAUAGCACAUCUGGAAGCUGCCAGGCCUAUGUAGAAAUGUACAUUAACACAGGAUUAAAAUGUGUUCUGAUUUUCCUGCAUAGAAAACAUUCAAAAUUUGAAUUAAAAUGAUUUAUAAGGAUUAUUUGCUUUAGACAGUAAAGAAGACAAUGUCCUUGGAACUUUUAGGAAACUAUAAAAUCAGAGAAAUCAAAUUAAAAAAUUUGUUAUAACAAUGCAAAAGCAAACUUUGGCAAGAGAUAAAUAUAAUUUUUAUUUGAAAAGAAAUUAACGAUUUAUUACGUUAGUUUGUAAUAGCUAUAAAAUUUGGUUGAAAAUUUGAAAUUAUAUGCCUACUAUGUGCUUUGCAUUCUGUCGAAUGUGAUUCUCAUGUUUAUUAUAUGCUAAAUCGUACAUUCAGAACUUAACAUCAAUUAUUUGCUAACUGUACUGUGCAUAUUUCCAAUUUAUGGUGGCUUCUAGGCUCUCUUCAUCACUGAGAUCUGAUCACAAGCUCCUUAAUAUCAUAAAUCUCCAACUGCUGAAUAAAGUAAAAGCAGUAGCUUGAUGGACUAAAGAAUUUGAGAAAUCUCAUGAAAUGCAAAGUUUAAGCUCUACUCUCAGUUUGGCAAAGAUAUUUUUAUCUGAGGUGUUAUGGUAUGAUAAAAAUUUAAAGCUAUAUGAUAAAUAUAUUUUUUCAAGGUUCCUUUGGUCAAGUUCUGGCCCUUUCCAAAAUAUAAGCAUUAGCAGCUAAGGAUAACUUUUUCAUGUAUUUGAAUACCUCACAUCUGUAAUUUUAACAAACUUAAUUUGUAACAAGUUUAAGAGGUAAGGAUGACAUCUCAAAUAUCCAUCAUGAGCCCAUUUCCUUUGGAAGCUUCAGAGACUUAGUCCUUCCUUUAUUUCCUCUUAAUCUGAAUAUACAAUUUCCCACAUAAUAGUUAAUUUUUUAUAUGUGCUGUUUUCACUGUUUGGAGGUUCUAGUUUAUCUUUCCAGUUGCACUGCAAACUCUUUGAGGUUUGAAGCUUCUUUAUAUACAGCAAGAAUGCCAGUAAUGUCUAUUUGAUAAAGUAUCCUGUUACCCUUUCUUAUUUGGCAUCACCCCAUAAUGCUUUAUUGGCAUAACCAACUUGAUAUGAUCAUAUCUAUCAUAAGUUGAAUUGAGCGGAAGGGUUAGGGAGGUAGGAAGGCAGUUGGCCACUGGCUCUCGCAUUUCUGCAGGUCCCUCACUCAUCCAAAGGAGAUUAUGCAUUCAGCCACAACAAUCUACUGACAAUAAUGCAAAAAGGUACUUAUUAUAUAACUUAAAAUUUUUAUCAUACCAUAAUACCUCAGAUGCACCAUGAGUCACUAUAUAUAUAUACAGACACAUAUACACACCACACACAGGCACAUGCACGCACAGUUAAAUGCUAUAAUUAUCUUCUGAAGAACAUAGUUUUAUUGCAUAGCAUUCUUGGAAUUAAAGGUGUUAAACUAUUUGAUGUAAACAUGUAAAAUAUCUCAUAAUGUCACAGCCUUGUUUUUGCAUUUCUUAAUUUUAAAAAAUAUACAAAAUCCUUAAAUGGCGCAAGUAACUUAAGCUUAUCUUGACCUUUAAGAGGCUUUGGAUAUGAUUCCAUUAUUGAAGCAACUGAAAGAACUGGACAUUAGACAACAUUUCUUCACUGAAUUUCUCCCAUAUUUUUUAUGAGCAAUAUUUUAUAUCUUGUAAAAUCUUCAAAUGUGCCUAUUGUAGUGUCAUUUUUCUUUGACUCUCAAAUGGAUAAUAAUGCAUGAUACUGGGGGUACACUUAGCUUUAAGCUGGAAUAUUUUUAUUUGGCAUGGCUUUCGCUCCCUGGUAACAUUCAGGCUAAUGGAAAGCCAAGUCUGUAAGAUAUGAAAUUCAAUUAGUGUCUGAUUUGUUAAAGUAAUAGCAAAUCAUAUACAUUUAAUGAGUGUUGACUCUUGAGAAAUACAAUCUUAAACAGUUUACAAUGCUCAAAAUAGAUCUGAAAGUUUUUCAGCUGUGACAGUUUUUUGUCUUAUGUGGUUGAAGUAGAUUUUUAUUAAAAAACAAAAAUGAUUAAUAUAUAGCUUAUUAAUUUUGGUUUGAGGCAGAAAGAGGGAUUGAAAGAGAAAAGAAGAGGGAGAGGGAAGGAAAGGCAGGAGAGGGGAGUGGAGCAAGGCCGUGGGGAGAGGAGUGAGGAACAGAAAAAGAGAGAAAGCAGAGGAUUACGUAAUAAGGAAGCUACUUUUUCUCUGUGAACCCAGAAGAGAGUGCCAACCGUGUUUUCAGUAAUGGGAUCAGUGUUAGCAUUAGGGCACUGCUUACAAAGAUGAGUACUAUUUUUGAGGGCAAGGUGCUGAUUUAUCUGCCUAGGUUCUGGCACAUGUGUGUAAAGAUUCACCUAAUUACAUUAGAGCAACGCGCCCCCAAGUAUUAUAGAGAAGAAAGAGGAGAGUGAUGUGCUCAUGUUAAAUUUGAGAAAACAAUGUGUAUAAGUUUAUAUUGGUUGUUUAAAUAUAGUACCUAAAAAAUGAUGGGGAAAAAACUACCUGGGAAGUAAGGAAAGAAUCAAGGAGCAAAUAUUUAGCAAGCGUGUGGACCCUGACAACUCCAAUAAGAGAACACUAGGGAAUUUUGUAUUUUAAAAUACAUUGUUGUUUAAAACUACAGUAGUGUUCAAGGAAACUUUAAAUAGAAAAUUACUCUUCUUGAGAUGAUUCUGUCUUCCAAAGAGAACAAAUCACAAAACAUUUCCUGCUUUCUGUCUUCUUAAAAAGGGAUGUUAAAAGGAACAUUUUACCUGAUGAGUAUAGGUUAGGUACUACGUAAAUAGAAGAGAAAGUCAAUCAGAGUACAUUUGAAUGUAGGGCAGAGAUUAUUCCAUAGCAUUCCACAGACCAGAAACAGGAAGUGUCUUCUAGUUUUCUUGCCCUUUAUAGUAAUAGGGGUCAGGGGAUAGAAAUUCUCAGAAAAUCUCCAAAUCUCAUUUUUGCCAAUUGUUUCAACAUCUUUUCCUUCCCAGCAUUUUAGCAGAGCUACCAAACAGGUGAUUAAUUAAGUACGUAUGUGCAUGCUUAUACCUGAUGUAGAAAGUCUAAUGAGUAAAUUUGUUUGAUAUGACAUAGACUGAACAGUAGAAGGAAGGAGGAAUGACAAUCACAUCAAUAAACAAAGGUACAAAUGAUAUCUGGGCUAUGAAAAGAUAAAGCAAUAUUUGCCCAAAGAAGAAGAUCUAGAUAUCCCUAAAUUAUCCCCUGUAUUCUUAGGAAGUAAAGAUCAAAUCUGCAACUUUGAUCUGGAAAUUGUAUAGUAGCAGGUAUGAGCAGGGAUCAUAGGAGAGUGUGGUCUCAUAGCUACUCUUGGCCACUUCCAAAACCUAAGUGGUAGCACAUCAGUGAUUGCCCAACCAAACUGCACAAUUCCCAUGAGAAAAAGCUGUCUGGAACCCACAUCUUAGAAAGGGAGUGAGCGCCACCUGAAUCAAUACACUAGGACAUAACUUUCUGCAUACCCCAAGAAUACCUCCUGUUGCAUAGCACUUUUUAGUUUUCAAAGCUUUUCAGAUGUAACAGAUCUGACAACUGUUGUUUUUAGUGUGCCACAGCUCAUCUCACUUAAUGCUUUAGGGUAAGUGAAAAGGAUGGAUGUAAUUAUUAUCAAAUAGGAGAAGAACAAUUGGAGGUUCAGGGACUAGAGACCACACACAUAUGUGGUUAGAAAGUCCAAAGUAGGCCCGCGGGGCCGGGUGCGAUGGCGGCGGUGGCUGCACGGCAGCUGGGGCUGCGGGCGGCGGGGCUGGGACGGGCCCCUGCCAGCGCCGCUUGGAGGAGCGUCCUCGGGGUCUCCCCGUGCCCAGAUGUGGCAGUUCUGCAGCAGAAGCAUCUGCCACAAAAGCGCAAGAUGACUCCUUUCUUCAGUGGGUCCUGCUCCUCAUCCCUGUGACUGCCUUUGGCUUGGGCACAUGGCAGGUCCAACGUCGGAAGUGGAAGCUGAACCUGAUUGCAGAGUUGGAGUCUAGAGUUCUGGCUGAGCCUGUCCCUCUACCAGCAGACCCAAUGGAACUGAAAAAUAUGGAGUAUAGACCAAUGAAAGUCAAGGGGUGCUUUGACCACUCCAAGGAGCUGUAUAUGAUGCCCCGGACCAUGGUGGACCCUGCCCGGGAGGCCUGGGAGGCUGGCCGCAUCUCCUCCUCAACUCAGAGUGGGGCCUAUGUGGUCACUCCCUUCCACUGCACCGACCUGGGAGAGCACAGUCCCUGGAGGACCCAUUGGAGGGCAAACCAGAGUUACUCUGAGGAACGAGCAUCUGCAGUACAUCGUCACCUGGUGUGGACUCUCUGCAGCUACAUCAUAUCUGUGGUUUAAGAUAUUCCUACGUGGGACACCUGGUGUGUAACAGAUCAGCUGCUAAAGCCCUGUCCCUGAAUAAUGAAGUAAAAAGACUGCCUUUAUGCUGGAUCAUGUGGUAUAAAGUUCUGGCCUUCUACCUUAAAAAAAAGAAAGUCCAAAGUAAAAACAAUAGAGCUAGUCUGUAUCGGACACUUACUAUGCACCAGGAAGCAUUCCCAAUCCCAUACAUGCAUUAGCUCAUGCAUGUCAUCCUCCAAAACAGCCUUGGGAAGUGGAUCUAGCAUUACCUUUAUCUUACAAAUGAGGAAACCAGGCAGAGCAAGUUUAAGAAACCUGCACUGGUAUGAAUUCUGGAAGUCUGUGUUAGAACCGGGACUGCUGGUCACUCUCCCACCUCCAGCUUCCUGACCAGAUCCUAUUAGCACACAAGGAAAAAAUUCCGUAAUGACAGGUAUUAUUCUAACAGAUGUACUAUCUUCUCUACUUAGCUCUGAAUCUUUCUCUGAAGACAGAACACCAUGUGAUUUGUUAUAGAAUAGGGCUUAGUAAUCAGUUAAAAUAUAAACUUAUUAAAUAAUAUCUAAACUGUCCUCUAACCUAAUUGAUGUUGGUUUAAAAGAAUGCUAAGCAAAAGCAUCAAAAUAAAAAUAUUUUUAUGUUAAAAAAAAGAAAAAGGAAAAUGAAUCAGUGAUUUUAUAUUGUCUGCUUCUGCCCCCUCCUGGGUUUUGCUUCAUGGGCUUCCAUCUGGCUCAUUUCAUCUGGCCAAAAACAUUGGUCAUGUGGUUGUAUUUUACUGCCAAAAUAUUACUCCUUGGCCAGCUGUUCAGAGGAGCCAGAAGAUUCUCUGAGCUAGAGAGGUCAACUUCAUCCUGUGUCAUGUCUAUUUAUUCUACUGGCAUAGUCUUGACUAUUAAACUAGGCUUCUUAAUGAUAUUUCAAAUUGUGAGUAAUGUUGGCUAAAUUGACAAUGAAAAAAUAAUUAGUGUAUAGGCAACAUUUAUACCUAAGAAUAACAAUACUGCUAACAACCAUUGCAUAUUGUCGGAAGAGGUAGCAUGGUGUAGGAGGAGAACUUUGGCUCUACAGCCAAACAGACCAAGCUCCAGUGCCAACUCUGCUGCUUUCUUGAUUGGGCAGUUUUUCCUAACGUCUCUGAGCCAUUUCCAUGUACAUAAAUAGAAAAUAAAAAUAUCUACUUCAUAAGGCCAUUGUGCAGAUUAGAUGAAAGCGUGUACAUGAGUGCAGGACUACCUACCACCCCUUUCAUAGCAUUUCCAAGUCUUCACUAACAUUUCACAAAUUUUAUAAAGCUUCUUUUGUGAAAUACAUUUUCAGAUAAACUGUCAUCAUUGGUACCUCUGUUGGUCACAGAAUAGUACAGUAGAGCUGCGUUAUAAAUGGUUACCUUAUAAGCAACUUGCACAUACAACCCAGACUCACCUUAGAAAGGUAGUGUGCAGGAAUGAUUGACUGUUGGCUAGCUCUACAGUCACACUGCUGCUGAGGUUCACAUUUUCACAUUAUCGCUUGUAGCUAUGAGACUUUGGAAAAGUUACUUCAUGUGCCUCAGUUUCCUUAUUUGUAAAAUGGGGUGUUGUGAGGAUUAGGUGUGUUAGCCAUGUAAAGUGCCUGGCACAUAGACAACACUAAAAUAAAUUUCAGCUAUUAUUAAUAAUAGAAUGUAAGCUCCACAUGGCAGCAAUUUUUUUGUCCUUUUUUCCACCUUUGUAUAGCCAAUGCCUGGAAGAGUGUCUGGUACAUAGUAGGUGCUUGGCGUAUAUGUAUUAAAUGAAUGAACCUAUUAGCAAAUGUGUUCCAAUUCAUGGCAAGUGUAAGGACACUGUGCUUCCUUUUGCCACAUUCAUGGGAACAGGGGGUUAGAGAUGAAGGAACCUGAUGGUUCAUUUGUUCAAACUCAUUUGUCUUACAUUGAAGAGCUUGAAGAUCCUGAAAGGCCCCAGGGUCAUGCAGCUUGAUAGUGGCCUGGCCAGAGCUAGAACCCUAGCUCUGUGUGCUUCUGUGAAAAUCUUUGUUCCAUUGUCCCACCGCCGACUUCAGUACAUAUGCCAUCUAAUUCAAUGCCUUCAGUAAGGCAGCAAAAAGAAUGAAUGAUUUGGAGCACACUUCUUGCAGACAGGAGAGAGUAUGAGUCAUAAUUGGGCAAUGACCAUGGAAGGACAGGUUUCUGAAUAAUAGACUUAUCCAAGUAAAAUUAUGCUCGGACAUUUUACUUACAAGUCUAAAAGUCACUUGCUACAACAGCUACAAUAGGAUUCUUGUAGGGAAGUACCACUUUGUAAACAACAGUUUUGUAGAAUGCGUUAUAUGCAUUUUUUUCAAAAUUGAAGGAAAGCUCCAUCUCUAACAUUCAAAAGAAUCUGUUCAAUUAUCAAUGUACACUAGAAACAGGUAGAGACGGGAAAUACAGUUUGAGUGUUUUCUGUCUUACCAUGACAGCGCAUGGAACAACCACAGGCAGAAAGAUUACAAACUCUGCAAUAAAUAUAAAGGUAUUGAUUUUAUAAGGUAGCCUACAGGCUAUGGACCAGCACAGAGCUCUGUCAAAUGUGCUGCCAGGAGAUGUACAAAAAAAUCAAGGUGACUAAAGAAGAAGAGACACUCCCCACUGCCAAGGGUUUAGAAUCAUGCUGUGGGUAUUUCUGAUCAUCAGUGUGAGAAUGGUUUUCACUGUUGUUAAAACCAUACCAUUUCUGAAUGUGUAAUAGGUAUGAAUGUUUAUGCUUAAAUAGUAGUUUGUAAAAUUUAUACUGUUUAUUUUCAUAAUGUUGAUUUUAUGAUUUUCAACGAGUGCAUUUUUGUCUUUAAGUCAUGAAGUGGUUGAGCCCCCAUCAAGUGAUUUUAAGAGACGGUACCUUGACUGAGCAGUUGAAUCAAGGCCUGUCUGAUCUGGGCAGAGCAAAUAAGGAAUACUUCUCAUGAAGGAGGAAGCAUUCAAUUCCAUACACUUUACCUUGGUACUCCUUGUUCUGGAGCCCUCAGCAUCUAUCAUGUUCUUUGCCACAGUCAUAUACCCACCUUCUAUCUUGGCUCUCCCUCCUCCUAACUUCCAUUACUUUUUCUACCUUUGAACUAUAAUUGACAAGCCUUUUUGACUUUGACAAGGGGCUGAAGAGAGGUGUCUGAUUUUCCAUAAGGCUGGGUUAUAUAAGUGCACAGAGUUGAAUCAGAGCAAAAGAAAAUUCCAUUGGCAAAGGAAGAGUACUAUAUGGUACUUUAAAACUUGUCCGAUUGUAUUAUUUUAUUUAUUUAUUUUAGAGGCAGGAUCUCGCUCUGUCAUCUAGGCUGGAGUAUGGUGGCAUCAUUAUCACUCAUUGCAGCCUCAAACUCCUAGGCUCAAGGGAUUCUCCAGUCACAGCCUGCUGGGUAGCUAGGACUACAGGCGCACCCUACCAUUCCUGGCUUAAAAACAAAUUUUUUUUUUAGGGUCUGUUUUGCCCAGGUUUGUCUCAAACUCUUGGCCUCAAGUUAUCCUCCCACCUCAGCCUCCUAAAUGCUGGGAUUACAGGCAUGAGCCAUGUUACACGGCUCAAAUUAUAUAAUUCAUUAGCUGGUAAUAGUGUAAAUUUGGAAGAAAAAAACUAAAAUGAUAAAGAGGAAAGAUGGAUUUGUGAAUAGAGUAAAUAUAUAUUACUGUAAUUAUGUUAAGCCAAUCAAAUGCAAAAGACAGUUCAAAGAUAACAAGUAUGUAAGUCACAUUCCAAAAAAAAAAAAAAAAAAAAAAGAAAAGAAAAGGAAAGCUUUGAAGUGAAACUUUGAAAAGAUAAGUUUUGUGGUGAGCUAAAGAAAUAAACUCUAUAAAAACAAAACCCUAAAAUUAUUAUAACAAUGAAUUAAACAUUCAAAUAUGAACAGAACAGAAUGUAAAGGAUCAUUCAGGCGGUAAAUGUUCACAACCAGCUCUCCAUGGGGGAGGGGGGAGGGCACUAUUUGUAGUAACUGCUUAUUUCUGUGCAAAAAAAUUCUCUCACCCGCCCGUUUCAAACUGCAGAGGUCACUAAAUGUGGAGUUGGCAAGAGAUACAUAGUACUAUAUACGGUGUUUCUAUCAUAUAGAUACAAUAGACAUAAAUUGCCCCCAAAACGUAAUAAUAGUAAAAUGUAACCAAAUCAUUCAGAGGUUAUGAGUUUUGAAUACUUAUUUCCAUUGUUUUUAAUGUAAUUUAAUUAUAAUUAACAAUUUUUAUGUAAUUUAAUUUUUAAUAACUGUUGGGUAUUAACAACUGACUUAUAAAUACUCCUAAAAAUGUAACAGGAUGUAGUGAGGGACAAAAUGGAUGUGGUCUCUGCUUUCAUCAAGUUUACAUUCUGGUAGAGGAAGAGAGAAAAUUAGUUAACAAUAAAUAAAAUAAAUAGAGACUGAGAUGAGAAGUUCUGCUUGGGGAAGCCAGGGAAGCCUUUUUAAAGAAAUUGAUAAUUUAUUUGCAUAUAAGUUCAAACAUCUGUGCGUUCCAUACAUCUGUGAGUACAUUUGUAGUUCUAGCCAUGAAACUCAGAAUUGCACAACGUCAGUGGAACCAUAUAAAUAUUGACCUCAUUACUGACUUGUUUUCAGUCUCUAGUCUCUUGAGUGAAUUUGCCUUUGCUUCUCUGUUACUAUAAAAAUACAAUGAGGGAAAGUAAAACAAGGAAGAAGAUGAAAAGAUGUAGGGGAAGGAGGAGCAGUUUACAAUAUACUUUCUAUUACAUUGUUUCACACUAUCUCAAAAAUUUUUAUACAUAGAAAAUACUAAAGCAAAGAAAAUUGGAAGUUAAAAAUCAAUAGCAGUAGUAAUAGCCCUAUAGUAGGAACCUUGUUUUGUUUGAAAUAUCUGUCCGUGACUGCCUACAAAACAUAACCAUCAUAAGCUAAGAGUAAUUAUGAGAUUACUUUUUUAUUUUCAAAGAAAUAAUACAAAUUUUAAAUCUUGAAUUAAAAGGAAAGCUAGCCGGAUGAAACUUUUCCAACACACAAAGUUUUAGGAUAGUGCCCAUAAAUAUUAUGCUUCUAAUGCUUGUCACUUGAUCCGGUUUUGGCAAUUAACUUGCCUUUAAUUGAUUUGUGGAUUACCCACUGGAAGUUGCUAUGGAUAAAGGAAUGUAGUGGCAGAGUUUGUUUAUAUAGGGUAACAAAAUAGACUGGUUGGGAGGAGGGGUUUAACUGCAAAAUAUCCUUGAUUUUCAGGAAUUUUUCUUUUCACAUAAUGGCAGUGUUUAGACAAAGAAUGGAAAAUUAGAUGAAUCUGAUUAAUGUUCUCAUCCAAACGGAAGAUUUAUGUCCUGUUUAAGAAUCACAUUAAUUUGAUGACGUAAGUACAUUCUCUAGUGAAAGAGUGGCCACUUGAGUAGAGGAAAAAAACAAGCAAAAAAACUCCUUCUGCCAUCUUCAGGUUGUACCUGAUGAAAAGCUUUUAUUUGUGGGUUCUAUGAAGUAUCACUGCCCUGAUCUCAGAUGAACUAAAAGAUGAAAACAUUUCAUUACUCAAAUAAUUGUUUAUCUCACAUCUUAACUGGUUCUAGAAAAGGACUAUAUAUUUUCCAUCCUAACUUUCCUCAGUUUCUUUUUAUAAAGUUCAAAAUGCCUUGAGUAGAGGUGUUCAGGAGGUUCUCAGUGGCACUGCCACUCACUGGUGGGGACGUUUUUGUUCUCUGUCCUCCCAUGUAGAAGAUGACAAGGAUGGCUUUGUACAACUUCUGUUGUAUGCGCUGCUUUUCAACCCCUUGGAUGAGAUACUCAGGGACAAGGAACAUCAGGUUUUUUCCUGAAAGCAAAUCCAUAUAAACUGAAACAACAUAAACCUUAGGGAGGUCUGACACACCAAAAUGCCAAGAAAGGAAAGAAGAAAUUAUUAUCAGUGGGGGAAACAAAUUAUCCUGUAUUUU